rnacentral:lncRNA from 1 species
CCUCCCAAUGGUGAAGGUGUCUGGGUAAAUGGGUCAAAAAGUGGUGGAGAACUGGGUUAGAAAGAGGUGAAGGUGAAGAUCAAUGGAGGCUUUAGGGCUGGCUGUGUGUUUUGCCGGGUUUGUGUGACUGUGCCCAGAGGGCGGAGUUCCUGCACAUUCCUACCUCACCGGAGAACCUGCCCUCAACUCCACUGCAGCUACUCCAGAGAGAUGGGACCCUUCAGAAGAAACCUGCCCAGCAAUCCCAGCAAGCCUUCCCGCCAGAAGGAUUCCAGGAGAAACUGCCUCUACCUGCAAGAAAGGCGCACGUUGGCACUUGGGGAUAGAAGUCCUCCAUCGGCACCGGAUCACUGGAGGCAAACAUCGAAUUAAUUGGAUCUCAAUGACUGAGGUAUCUGUGGAGGAAGAAGGUGACGUGACGAGAAAAGCCUGACAGCUAAAGCGGGAACUGUCCGGGAGAAGGAUCCGUGAUGAAUGAAGCCUGCGAAGUCCUGAUGCAAAAGCAGAGCAGGACAGUGUGUUGGCAAACCCAAAUACCGGUUUUUGUUCUCUGGAACCAAAAAGAAAAAUGGGGUGGUGAAGGUGGGGUGG